rnacentral:tmRNA from 2 species
GGGGGCGACAUGGUUUCGACAGGAUUCGCGACGCCCGAGGUGCAUGCCGAGGUUGUUUUGGCCCUCGUAAAACACCAAAGCAAACUAAGUAUAGUUGCCAACGACGACAACUACGCUCUGGCCGCCUAAAUAGGCCAGUGCCCUCCCGGUCAUUGCUCAUAGUGCCGGAUCAGGGUAUCGACUCAUAUGAGAUCGCCUGGACACUGGCUUCUUGUGAAAGGGUUAAAUCAAUACAGAAGCUAGGCUUGCGCGUUCUCCGCUGACUGGGUAGCGCAGGUCAAAAACUUCACAGUGAGCUAAGCAUGUAGAGCCGAAGGUAGAGGUCUUCUGGACGCGGGUUCGAUUCCCGCCGCCUCCACCA